rnacentral:rRNA from 1 species
ACCAGACUCCUACGGGAGGCAGCAGUGGGGAAUAUUGCACAAUGGGGGAAACCCUGAUGCAGCGACGCCGCGUGAGUGAAGAAGUAUUUCGGUAUGUAAAGCUCUAUCAGCAGGGAAGAGAAUGACGGUACCUGAGUAAGAAGCCCCGGCUAACUACGUGCCAGCAGCCGCGGUAAUACGUAGGGGGCAAGCGUUAUUCGGAUUUACUGGGUGUAAAGGGAGCGUAGACGGCGAAGAAAGUCUGGAGUGAAAGGCGGGGGCCCAACCCCCGGACUGCUCUGGAAACUGUAUGACUUGAGUGCAGGAGAGGUAAGCGGAAUUCCUAGUGUAGCGGUGAAAUGCGUAGAUAUUAGGAGGAACACCAGUGGCGAAGGCGGCUUACUGGACUGUAACUGACGUUGAGGCUCGAAAGCGUGGGGAGCAAACAGGAUUAGAUACCCCUGUACA